rnacentral:rRNA from 1 species
AUCUCCCUUCAGGAUGGGGACAACCGUUGGAAACGACGGCUAAUCCCCAAUGUGCCGAGAGGUGAAAGGGUUUCCGCCUGAAGAAGAGCUCGCGUCCGAUUAGUUAGUUGGUGAGGUAAAAGCUCACCAAGGCAGCGAUCGGUAGCUGGUCUGAGAGGAUGAGCAGCCACACUGGGACUGAGACACGGCCCAGACUCCUACGGGAGGCAGCAGUGGGGAAUUUUCCGCAAUGGGCGAAAGCCUGACGGAGCAACGCCGCGUGUGGGAAGAAGGCUCUUGGGCUGUCAACCACUUUUCUCAGGGAAGAAGACCUGACGGUACCUGAGGAAUCAGCCUCGGCUAACUCCGUGCCAGCAGCCGCGGUAAUACGGAGGAGGCAAGCGUUAUCCGGAAUUAUUGGGCGUAAAGCGUCCGCAGGGGGCGCAUCAAGUCGGCUGUUAAAGGCUGGAGCUUAACUCCAGUAGAGCAGUGGAAACUGGUGCGCUAGAGGGCGACAGGGGUAGAGGGAAUUCCCAGUGUAGCGGUGAAAUGCGUAGAGAUUGGGAAGAACACCGGUGGCGAAAGCGCUCUACUGGGUCGCACCUGACCCUCAGGGACGAAAGCUAAGGUAGCGAAU